GACUAAUUUGUGCCCUCUUAUCUGCAUCCCCCAAGAAGAAUGCAGGCUGCCAGAGGGCAGGGAUGUUCACUUUUUGCCCAUGGCUCCCCAGCUCCCAGAGCAUAUUAAGUACUUAAUAAAUGUUCUCAGUAUUUGACUUUGAAUGAAUGGGCACAGCCAGAGAUAUCUACCUAAGUGAUGUGAGGGGAAAAGAAGGUGGGAAGAGAUUAAAUGUAGUUUCGUUAGGUAUUGGAUAAAAGUCUUCACACCAAAGGGGCCAAAGGAAAUUCCUUAUUUUAGAAGUUCAAGAUAAAGACAGUCUACAGGCCUUUUCUCCUAAGGAGUUGUCCACAUCAAGACAUAGCGUUCACAUUCUUGAACUAUAUUCUAACCAUCAUUUCAAGUUAAGCACCUAUAAAAGCAUUUUUCUAAGGCAUCUUUGUUUCACAUCUCUCCAAUAUGGGGCAUGCUGCCAACCAUUCACACCAGGAGCCAAAGGGUUUCAGAGCAUUCCCAACUCUAAGAAAUGAGGUCAGUGCCUCUCUUGGGGGCAAUAAUCAUGUUCUGCCUCGCAGUACAGUUCCACUGUGCAUCUGUCUUAACUCCUCAUUCAACUUCUUAUCUCCCCAUUCAACUAUUUAUUCCUUCUGGGUAGGGGGGCCUUGGCUUAGCCCCAGUUUCUGUAUCCACCACAGGGACUUCUGCAAAAACACUAGGCUUCAACAAAAUGUUUGCUGAAUUGACUGGGAUUGUGUAAUGAGUAUUUGAAGAUUAAUCAAUCAGCUGUCCUUGUUGAAAGGGUAUAUCUCUUCCAAGAGCCUCUCAUUCUGACAGACAAGGAGACUCAAGCCUUUCUUUAGUUUUCUGAAGCCACUUGUCCAAGAUGCUACCACAGGCAGAUGCUCUAACCAAGAAAGCACACUGGAUUUCGACCUAGGAGGCAGGCUCUGCCACUUACUACUCCUGUGACCAUGGGUAAAUCAUGUCAGUCUCUGGACCUUAGCUCCCUUAUCUAUAAAAUGAGAAGACUGGAGUAAAUGGCUGAAGGAUCCUAUGACUCUAAGUUCAGGAUUCUGUGGCCUGUGCUUCUUGAAACAAGAUUUUAGAGAGGGUCUGCUAUGGGGUGUCAGUUAAUGGUCACAAGACCUGCUGGAAUUUCUGCAUCUCUGCCUGCUACAGAGAACCCAUGAGAAAAGCAUUGGGACCAUGGGAAAUAUAAGAGAUAGGCUGGUUGGGGCCACUCUAAAGACAGCCAGAGGGAAGGGAUGAUAGCCUUCUUUCUCCGGACAGACCCCAUCGUUAAGAGCUGCAAUAAGCUAUGGCACAAACUCCCUUUAGAGAGCUACAGCUGAAUCUGCUAUUGCUGGAUGACCACUGAGCGAGUGACCAUGGAGAGCAAUGUCGCAUGGCAUUGAUGCCUCAGAAAUUGACAGAUUAGACUACAGAAUGUCAGGGCUACCCAGGGCCUUGGAAGGCACCCAGUCCUGCUGUUCAUUUUACAGACAGGAAACUGAGCCCCAGAGAGGGGAACAGCCUAGUCUAAAGAUAUUACCCAGCAAGAAGGGGGCAGAGCCAGGAUUAGAACCUGUAUCAUCUGACUCCCAAUGCUCUAGUUUUUCCAUGAUACUAUACUUUCUCCCAAGCUGGCUCUGGACAGUUUUUUUUCAAUGUCACAUAUAUGAAUACA